rnacentral:rRNA from 1 species
UACGUAGGGUGCGAGCGUUGUCCGGAAUUAUUGGGCGUAAAGAGCUCGUAGGCGGUUUGUCACGUCUGCUGUGAAAUCCCGAGGCUCAACCUCGGGCCUGCAGUGGGUACGGGCAGGCUGGAGUUCGGUAGGGGAGACUGGAAUUCCUGGUGUAGCGGUGAAAUGCGCAGAUAUCGGGAGGAACACCAGCGGCGAAGGCGGCACUCUGGGCUGGAACUGACGCUGAGGAGCGAAAGCGUGGGUAGCAAACAGG